GUGUGUUAGUGGAAGCGUCUGGAAAGGCGCGCGAUACAGGGUGACAGCCCCGUACACAAAAAUGCACAUAUUGUGAGCUCGAUGAGUAGGGCGGGACACGUGGUAUCCUGUCUGAAUAUGGGGGGACCAUCCUCCAAGGCUAAAUACUCCUGACUGACCGAUAGUGAACCAGUACCGUGAGGGAAAGGCGAAAAGAACCCCGGCGAGGGGAGUGAAAAAGAACCUGAAACCGUGUACGUACAAGCAGUGGGAGCACGCUUAGGCGUGUGACUGCGUACCUUUUGUAUAAUGGGUCAGCGACUUAUAUUCUGUAGCAAGGUUAACCGAAUAGGGGAGCCGAAGGGAAACCGAGUCUUAACUGGGCGUUAAGUUGCAGGGUAUAGACCCGAAACCCGGUGAUCUAGCCAUGGGCAGGUUGAAGGUUGGGUAACACUAACUGGAGGACCGAACCGACUAAUGUUGAAAAAUUAGCGGAUGACUUGUGGCUGGGGGUGAAAGGCCAAUCAAACCGGGAGAUAGCUGGUUCUCCCCGAAAGCUAUUUAGGUAGCGCCUCGUGAAUUCAUCUCCGGGGGUAGAGCACUGUUUCGGCAAGGGGGUCAUCCCGACUUACCAACCCGAUGCAAACUGCGAAUACCGGAGAAUGUUAUCACGGGAGACACACGGCGGGUGCUAACGUCCGUCGUGAAGAGGGAAACAACCCAGACCGCCAGCUAAGGUCCCAAAGUCAUGGUUAAGUGGGAAACGAUGUGGGAAGGCCCAGACAGCCAGGAUGUUGGCUUAGAAGCAGCCAUCAUUUAAAGAAAGCGUAAUAGCUCACUGGUCGAGUCGGCCUGCGCGGAAGAUGUAACGGGGCUAAACCAUGCACCGAAGCUGCGGCAGCGACGCUGAUGCGUUGUUGGGUAGGGGAGCGUUCUGUAAGCCUGCGAAGGUGUGCUGUGAGGCAUGCUGGAGGUAUCAGAAGUGCGAAUGCUGACAUAAGUAACGAUAAAGCGGGUGAAAAGCCCGCUCGCCGGAAGACCAAGGGUUCCUGUCCAACGUUAAUCGGGGCAGGGUGAGUCGACCCCUAAGGCGAGGCCGAAAGGCGUAGUCGAUGGGAAACAGGUUAAUAUUCCUGUACUUGGUGUUACUGCGAAGGGGGGACGGAGAAGGCUAUGUUGGCCGGGCGACGGUUGUCCCGGUUUAAGCGUGUAGGCUGGUUUUCCAGGCAAAUCCGGAAAAUCAAGGCUGAGGCGUGAUGACGAGGCACUACGGUGCUGAAGCAACAAAUGCCCUGCUUCCAGGAAAAGCCUCUAAGCAUCAGGUAACAUCAAAUCGUACCCCAAACCGACACAGGUGGUCAGGUAGAGAAUACCAAGGCGCUUGAGAGAACUCGGGUGAAGGAACUAGGCAAAAUGGUGCCGUAACUUCGGGAGAAGGCACGCUGAUAUGUAGGUGAAGUCCCUCGCGGAUGGAGCUGAAAUCAGUCGAAGAUACCAGCUGGCUGCAACUGUUUAUUAAAAACACAGCACUGUGCAAACACGAAAGUGGACGUAUACGGUGUGACGCCUGCCCGGUGCCGGAAGGUUAAUUGAUGGGGUUAGCCGCAAGGCGAAGCUCUUGAUCGAAGCCCCGGUAAACGGCGGCCGUAACUAUAACGGUCCUAAGGUAGCGAAAUUCCUUGUCGGGUAAGUUCCGACCUGCACGAAUGGCGUAAUGAUGGCCAGGCUGUCUCCACCCGAGACUCAGUGAAAUUGAACUCGCUGUGAAGAUGCAGUGUACCCGCGGCAAGACGGAAAGACCCCGUGAACCUUUACUAUAGCUUGACACUGAACAUUGAGCCUUGAUGUGUAGGAUAGGUGGGAGGCUUAGAAGUGUGGACGCCAGUCUGCAUGGAGCCGACCUUGAAAUACCACCCUUUAAUGUUUGAUGUUCUAACGUUGACCCGUAAUCCGGGUUGCGGACAGUGUCUGGUGGGUAGUUUGACUGGGGCGGUCUCCUCCUAAAGAGUAACGGAGGAGCACGAAGGUUGGCUAAUCCUGGUCGGACAUCAGGAGGUUAGUGCAAUGGCAUAAGCCAGCUUGACUGCGAGCGUGACGGCGCGAGCAGGUGCGAAAGCAGGUCAUAGUGAUCCGGUGGUUCUGAAUGGAAGGGCCAUCGCUCAACGGAUAAAAGGUACUCCGGGGAUAACAGGCUGAUACCGCCCAAGAGUUCAUAUCGACGGCGGUGUUUGGCACCUCGAUGUCGGCUCAUCACAUCCUGGGGCUGAAGUAGGUCCCAAGGGUAUGGCUGUUCGCCAUUUAAAGUGGUACGCGAGCUGGGUUUAGAACGUCGUGAGACAGUUCGGUCCCUAUCUGCCGUGGGCGCUGGAGAACUGAGGGGGGCUGCUCCUAGUACGAGAGGACCGGAGUGGACGCAUCACUGGUGUUCGGGUUGUCAUGCCAAUGGCACUGCCCGGUAGCUAAAUGCGGAAGAGAUAAGUGCUGAAAGCAUCUAAGCACGAAACUUGCCCCGAGAUGAGUUCUC
rnacentral:rRNA from 1 species